AGAUUGAACGCUGGCGGCAUGCCUUACACAUGCAAGUCGAACGGUAGAGUAGCAAUACUUGAGAGUGGCGAACGGGUGAGUAAUAUAUCGGAACGUGCCCAGUCGUGGGGGAUAACGUAGAGAAAUUUACGCUAAUACCGCAUACGGUCUAAGGAUGAAAGCGGGGGACCGUAAGGCCUCGCGCGAUUGGAGCGGCUGAUAUCAGAUUAGGUUGUUGGUGAGGUAAAAGCUCACCAAGCCGACGAUCUGUAGCUGGUUUGAGAGAACGACCAGCCACACUGGACUGAGACACGGCCCAGACUCCUACGGGAGCAGCAGUGGGGAAUUUGGACAAUGGGACGAAAGCCUAGAUCCAGCAAUGCCGCGUGCAGGAAGAGCCUGGGUUGUAACUGUCUUUGUACGAGACGUAAAGUC
rnacentral:rRNA from 1 species